rnacentral:rRNA from 1 species
UACGAGGGGGGCGAGCGUUGUUCGGAAUUAUUGGGCGUAAAGCGCGCGCAGGCGGUUCUUUAAGUCUGAUGUGAGAGCCCACGGCUCAACCGUGGAGGGUCAUUGGAAACUGGAGAACUUGAGUACAGAAGAGGAAAGCGGAAUUCCACGUGUAGCGGUGAAAUGCGUAGAGAUGUGGAGGAACACCAGUGGCGAAGGCGGCUUUCUGGUCUGUAACUGACGCUGAGGCGCGAAAGCGUGGGGAGCGAACAGG